UUUGGUGCUCUAGGCGUAGAGGAACCACACCAAUCCAUCCCGAACUUGGUGGUUAAACUUUACUGCAGUGACGAUAUUGUGGGGGGGGUCUUGCAGAAACAUAGCUCAACGCUAAGA
rnacentral:rRNA from 1 species